rnacentral:rRNA from 1 species
GACGAACGCUGGCGGCGUGCUUAACACAUGCAAGUCGAACGGAAAGGCCCGGCUUUUGUGGGGUGCUCGAGUGGCGAACGGGUGAGUAACACGUGAGUAACCUGCCUUUGACUUGGGGAUAGCUUCAGGAAACUGGGGCUAAUACCGGAUAGGAGCUCCUGCUGCAUUGUGGGGGUUGGAAAGUUUCGGCGGUUGGGGAUGGACUCGCGGCUUAUCAGCUUGUUGGUGGGGUAGUGGCUUACCAAGGCGUUGACGGGUAGCCGGGCUGAGAGGGUGACCGGCCACAUUGGGACGGAGAUGCGACCCAGACCACACCGGUAGGCAACGGUGGGGAGUAGUGUAUAAUGGGCGGAAGCCUAAUGCAGCAAAGCCGUGUGCGGGAUGACGGGAAUCUUGUUGGAAUCCGAUUUCGCUUGUGACGAAGCGUGAAUGACGGUAAUGGGUAAAGAAGCACCGGCUAACUACGUG